UCUCAUUAUUUAGGCUACACGAUGUCUUACACCAGUACUUGUCCAAUUACCUAUUAUAUACCAAAAAAUGUAAAAACAAAAAACUAAAAAAUGUAUAUACAUGCAUAAAAAAAAUAUCGUGCAAGUCCUCUGACUGACAAAAAAAAAUCGAACAGUGUCAGGAGGCGGAAAAAAAAUAUCGAGCAAACUGAAAAUCUACCCACCCCCCCAUCAAAAAUCAAAUGGUCCGUCC
rnacentral:lncRNA from 1 species